GAUCCCGGCGGUAGUAGCAGCGAAGCGGGGUGGAAAUCCCCGCCGCCGGAAGGGCCAGGGUUCCCCGGCAAUGUUCGUCAGCCGGGGGUCAGCCGGUCCUAACCGGGCCCUUAACCGGUGCCCGGGAAGGGGAAACGGGUUAACAUUCCCGUGCCGCGGGGGUACGCUUCGGGGCAACCCAAGGCCCAGCCCCCGACGCCUCGGGGUAGGCGGACUGGGGGCCUCCGUUUCGGGGGCGACCCAGCUAACUGCCCGAAGGCCGCUGAGUGCCGUAAUGGCGAGAGGCGGCUCAAGGGGGGAAUGGCCCGCCUUUUGGCGGGUUCCGCCGAGCCCUGGGGCCCAUGAAAAGGGGGCUGGGAAGGAUCCCCCGCGCCCGUACCGAGAACCGACACAGGUGCCCCUGGGUGAGGAGCCCAAGGCGUCGGGGGGUCAACCCGGGCCAGGGAACUCGGCAAACUGGCCCCGUAACUUCGGGAGAAGGGGUGCCUGCGGUCCUCGGCCUAAACCGGGGUCCGCAGGUCGCAGUGACAAGGGGGACCUGACUGUUUAACAAAAACAUAGCUCCCCGCUAGCCCGAAAGGGUGUGUACGGGGGGUGAAUCCUGGCCACUGGUGGUACGUGAAACCCGGGUUCAACCGGGCGAAGCGCCACUGAAGGCCGGGGGUAACCCUGACCCUCUUAAGGUAGCCAAAUGCCUUGUCGGGUAAGUUCCGACGCGCAUGAACGGAUCAACGAGGUCCCCGCUGUCCCGGCCCGGGGCCCCGCGAACCCACUGGGUGGGUGCACAGCCCCACAACCCCCCGCAGGGCGAGAAGACCCCGUGGAGCUUUACCGCAGCCUGCCGUUGACCCUCGGGUGGAGGCGCGUAGCGUAGGUGGGAGCCCGUGAGGGGUCCCUUUCGGGGGACCCUGAGGUGACAAUGAAACACCACCCACUUCCGCCUGGGGGUCUAACCUGGCUUCGGCCAGGGACAGCGGUAGGUGGGCGGUUCGGCUGGGGCGGCACGCCCGCGAGAAGGUAACACGGGCGCCCAAAGGUCGGCUCAGGCGGGUCAGAAACCCGCCGUAGAGUGCAAGGGCAAAAGCCGGCCUGACCGGGCCCCCAACGGCACGGGGCCCGGACGGGAAACCGCGGCCUAGCGCACGCUCGUGCCCCCUUCGGUGGGGGCCGGGCACGACGGAAAAGUUACCCCGGGGAUAACAGGGUCGUCGCGGGCGAGAGCUCCUAUCGACCCCGCGGUUUGCUACAUCGAUGUCGGCUUUUCCCAUCCUGGGGGUGCAGCAGCCCCCAAGGGUGGGGCUGCCCGCCCAUUAAAGGGGAACGUGAGCUGGGUUCAGACCGUCGUGAGACAGGUCGGGCUCUACCCGCGGGGG
rnacentral:rRNA from 1 species